rnacentral:rRNA from 1 species
CCAAAUCGGGCGGUAAUUCCGUCCAAGGCUAAAUAUUGGCGAGAGACCGAUAGCAAACAAGUACCGCGAGGGAAAGAUGAAAAGGACUUUGAGAAAAGAGUCAAAGAGUACUUGAAAUUGUCGGGAGGGAAGCGGAUGGGGGCCGGCGGUGCGUCCCGGUCGGAUGUGGAACGGUGCGUAACCGGUCUGCCAAUCGACUCGGGGCGUGGACCGACGCGGAUUGGGGCGGCGUCGCAAGCCCGGGCCUUUGUUGUGCUCGCGGAGACGUCGUCGCCUCGAUCGUGGCUGGCAGCGCGCGCCUACGGCGUGCUUCGGCAUCAGCGUGCUCCGGGCGUCGGCCUGCGGGCUCCCCAUUCGGCCCGUCUUGAAACACGGACCAAGGAGUCUGACAUGUGUGCGAGUCAACGGGCCAGAAAACCCGUUAGGCGCAAGGAAGCUGACUGGCGGGAUCCCCUGGAGGGUUGCACCGCCGACCGACCUUGAUCUUCUGAGAAGGGUUCGAGUGUGAGCAUGCCUGUCGGGACCCGAAAGAUGGUGAACUAUGCCUGAGCGG